rnacentral:rRNA from 1 species
AAUGACGGUACCUAACGAAUAAGCAUCGGCUAACUCCGUGCCAGCAGCCGCGGUAAGACGGAGGAUGCAAGCGUUAUCCGGAAUUAUUGGGCGUAAAGCGUACGUAGGCUGUUUCAUAAGUCUGUUGUCAAAGCGCGAGGCUCAACCUUGUAAAGGCAAUGGAAACUGUAAGACUAGAGAGAGAUAGGGGCAGGAGGAAUUCCAGGUGUAGCGGUGAAAUGCGUAGAUAUCUGGAAGAACACCAGUGGCGAAAGCGUCCUGCUGGAUCUCAACUGACGCUGAAGUACGAAAGCUAGGGGAGCGAAUGGGAUUAGAUACC